UGUUCUUUAUUGAGUCUCGUAGAACUGUGAGUACCUACUGCUUGUGUAUGUGCUGGAGACACUUCCCACUGUAGACACCGUGGGGCGCCCCAGAAUUAGGCGGCACUGUUGAGCCUGCCCUCUGGGGAUUCACUUUGUUCCAGGCACUGUGCUGGGAAGUGGGGACACGAGGGCUGCAGAAGGGCGUCCCUGAGUCCGCUUGGUGACCUGCCAGGGCCCUGAGCAGUGCAGAGGCACUACUCAGAUGAACGCCACGGCCACGGGGGACCACCCGAGCGCCAUGGCCGCGACUCGCGCGACGGCUGGGGAGGCUAUGCCUCUGACAAGAGGAUGGGCGAAGGCCGGCCGCUGCCACCUCCUCCCAGGGGCGGACGUGACUGGGCAGAGCACCCUCCCCGGCCGGAGGAGCAGCAGGAGCGCGCCUGGCAGGGCGGCGUGGACGCGGGCGCGGCGGGCCGGGAGCACGCCCGCUGGCAAGGUGGGCUGGCUCCCUGACGGGCUGGGCGGCCGGGGCUG
rnacentral:lncRNA from 1 species